GAUGAACGCUGGCGGCGUGCUUAACACAUGCAAGUCGAACGGUGAAGCCAAGCUUGCUUGGUGGAUCAGUGGCGAACGGGUGAGUAACACGUGAGCAACCUGCCCUGGACUCUGGGAUAAGCGCUGGAAACGGCGUCUAAUACUGGAUAUGAGCUCUCAUCGCAUGGUGGGGGUUGGAAAGAUUUUUUGGUCUGGGAUGGGCUCGCGGCCUAUCAGCUUGUUGGUGAGGUAAUGGCUCACCAAGGCGUCGACGGGUAGGCGGCCUGAGAGGGUGCCCGGCCACACUGGGACUGAGACACGGCCCAGACUCCUACGGGAGGCAGCAGUGGGGAAUAUUGCACAAUGGGCGGAAGCCUGAUGCAGCAACGCCGCGUGAGGGAUGACGGCCUUCGGGUUGUAAACCUCUUUUAGCAAGGAAGAAGCUUUUGUGACGGUACUUGCAGAAAAAGCGCCGGCUAACUACGUGCCAGCAGCCGCCGUAACAC
rnacentral:rRNA from 1 species